rnacentral:rRNA from 1 species
AUACGGAGGGGACUAGCGUUGUUCGGAAUUACAGGGCGUAAAGAGUUCGUAGGCGGACUGAUAAGUAAGAGGUGAAAUCCCAGGGCUCAACCCUGGAACUGCCUUUUAAACUGUCAGUCUAGAGACCGGAAGAGGUUAGGGGAAUACCUAGUGUAGAGGUGAAAUUCGUAGAUAUUAGGUGGAACACCAGUGGCGAAGGCGCCUAACUGGUCCGGUACUGACGCUGAGGAACGAAAGCGUGGGGAGCAAACAGGAUUAGAAACCCCAGUAGUCC